UAAAUUACUUUUAUCCAUUUUCAGAAACAAACACUCAUGAUUUAUCGCAUGUUAUUUAAUUAUUUUUUUCGGGUCGAGCUUCUCUCUCCAAACACAGUUUUAUGUUAAGUUUCAGUCAGUUUUUCACGCUGAGAUCAUUUAAUACCUGUGUUACAGAUGUGAUGUCAUCCAUGAUAGGUCUAGUAUGAUACUGUAUAACAGGUCAAAGGUCAUUCAAGGGAAUCACCAUCUAAAUCUUGGUCAUCACAAAGCUUUAAAUAACAGGUGUUUUGUAAAUAUGAUGAUUUUUGGGACUGAUUAUGAAACAAAUGAUAUGAUUUUAGCUUUAAUGUAGUAACAAGUAUUAAGAAUUAAAGAUGAAUAUUUUGUGCUGUUUUUAUAAUAAUUCAUGAGUGCUGUUGAGAAGAGCUGCUGUUGAGUCUGAUAUCAGUGUGUGAGUCUCUUCUCUCUUUCUCUGCUGGAGUUUGUGUUUAUUUGAGUGUGACGGAGGUUUUUGUUCGACGCUUUCACUAGAAUGAAGCACUGUGGUACACUUUUGGUGGAGGAACUAAACUGACCAUCGCUGGUCCCGCAGUGAAGCCCUCCGUGUCUCUGCUGCCUCCCUCUUCUCUGCAGAUCUCUGGAGACUCAGCCGCACUGCUCUGUCUGCUCAGCUCUUACUCUCCACAGGGGGCGCAGGUGAGCUGGACGCUGGACGGGUCAGAGGUCACCGAGGGGGUUCAGACCAGCGCAGAGAGCGAGCGGGACGGACGCUACAGCCGCAGCAGCGUCCUGAGCCUCAGCAAAGCACGCUGGGAAGCCGGCGAGCGCUUCGUCUGCAGAGUAACACAUGACGGAGCUGAUCACGAGACCUCGUUCCUCAAGAGCUCCGAGUGCUGAUGUUUCUCCAGUGAAGAGCAGCAGGAUUCACAGCAGUCUCCUGAUUUACAGCUCAAUACUCAAGCAGUCUUUCAAUGUGCUGCCAUUGCUGUUCAUUCAAUAAAGCUUCUGAACGCCUUA